UUUCUGUCUUGUUUAAUUUCAAACCCCAAACGCUGCAGUGCGGCACUAACGCCCCACAGAGACCCUGUCUGAGGACCCGUGGAGUCGCAUGUUUUUACUCCACGCUCACACUCGUCCCGCUCAUUUGAUCGAGCCCAGUUUCGAGCUUCUUUUACUUUUACUUUCCGUUUCACCUCUUACUUCUACUCCACCACGGUUCAGGGGACAGUGUUGCACCUUUUUUACGGCUUGGGUUACUUCACAGAUUAAUGUCCAAGGUUCAAUCACUCAUCGCCACAACACCAGCAGCCAUAGAAAGACACGGUCCAGACGAGAGGGGGCCACAAAAACAGUCCCAUCAACAAAACCGACGUAAGGAAAGGUUGAAGGUGGCGUCGGAUCGGGAACCACCAGAGUCUGGUUGCUGGUAGAGCUGUGCUGCACAUGGAAGAUUGAAACAUCAGACAAAUCACAUCUCCGUUUAACUGAAAUGUACCUUACAAGAGACUGGAGACCAAUCAUGGUGCAAAUAAAGAAGCAUUUCUGAAAUGAA